rnacentral:rRNA from 1 species
GUUAUAGGAUCAAGUGACUAAGUGCAUGCGGCGGAUGCCUUGGCGAUCACAGGCGAAGAAAGACGCGGCAGCCUGCGAAAAGCUGCGGGGAGCUGGCAAACGAGCUUUGAUCCGCAGAUAUCUGAAUGGGGGAACCCACACCGCAAGGUGUAUCCGUAACUGAAUACAUAGGUUACGGAGGCGAACGAGGAGAACUGAAACAUCUAAGUAUCCUCAGGAAAAGAAAUCAACCGAGAUUCCGGCAGUAGCGGCGAGCGAACCCGGAGGAGCCCAGCUUUUGAUAGUACGAACUUUAGCCGAAAGGUCCUGGAAAGGCCUGCUAUAGUGGGUGAUAGCCCCGUAGGCGAAAGAGUUGGUACGGUACUAAGGAAGCGAGAAGUAGAGCGGGACACGUGGAAUCCUGUUCGAAGACGGGGGGACCAUCCUCCAAGGCUAAAUACUCGUGAUCGACCGAUAGUGAACCAGUACCGUGAGGGAAAGGCGAAAAGAACCCCGGGAGGGGAGUGAAAUAGAACC